UACAAAGGGGGCUAGCGUUGUUCGGAAUUACUGGGCGUAAAGCGCACGUAGGCGGAUAUUUAAGUCAGGGGUGAAAUCCCAGAGCUCAACUCUGGAACUGCCUUUGAUACUGGGUAUCUUGAGUAUGGAAGAGGUGAGUGGAAUUCCGAGUGUAGAGGUGAAAUUCGUAGAUAUUCGGAGGAACACCAGUGGCGAAGGCGGCUCACUGGUCCAUUACUGACGCUGAGGUGCGAAAGCGUGGGGAGCAAACAGG
rnacentral:rRNA from 1 species